rnacentral:rRNA from 1 species
GACGAACGCUGGUGGCGUGCUUAACACAUGCAAGUCGAACGAAGUGGCGAACGGGUGAGUAACGCGUAAUCAACCUGCCCUUCAGAGGGGGACAACAGUUGGAAACGACUGCUAAUACCGCAUACUGAAGGAGGGGAUUGCGUCGGAUUAGCUAGUUGGAGGGGUAACGGCCCACAAAGGAGAUGAUCAGUAGCCGGUGUGAGAGGAGGAACGGCAAAAUGGGGACUGAGACACGGCCCAGACUCCUACGGGAGGCAGCAGUGGGGAAGCUUCCGCAAUGGACGAAAGUCUGACGGAGCAACGCCGCGUGAGUGAUGACGGCCGUCGGGUUGUAAAGCUCUGUUAAUCGGGACGCGGGACCGGAAUAGAAAGCCACGGCUAACUACGUGCCAGCAGCCGCGGUAAUAC